AUUGAACGCUGGCGGCAGGCUUAACACAUGCAAGUCGAGCGGGGGAAGGUAGCUUGCUACCGGACCUAGCGGCGGACGGGUGAGUAAUGCUUAGGAAUCUGCCUAUUGGUGGGGGACAACAUCCCGAAAGGGAUGCUAAUACCGCAUACGUCCUACGGGAGAAAGCAGGGGAUAUUCGGACCUUGCGCUAAUAGAUGAGCAUAAGUCGGAUUAGCUAGUUGGUGGGGUAAAGGCCUACCAAGGCGACGAUCUGUAGCGGGUCUGAGAGGAUGAUCCGCCACACUGGGACUGAGACACGGCCCAGACUCCUACGGGAGGCAGCAGUGGGGAAUAUUGGACAAUGGGGGGAACCCUGAUCCAGCCAUGCCGCGUGUGUGAAGAAGGCCUUAUGGUUGUAAAGCACUUUAAGCGAGGAGGAGGCUACUUUAGUUAAUACCUAGAGAUAGUGGGCGUUACUCGCAGAAUAAGCACCGGCUAACUCUGUGCCAGCCGCCGCAGUAAAAC
rnacentral:rRNA from 1 species